rnacentral:rRNA from 1 species
UACGUAGGGCGCAAGCGUUAUCCGGAAUUAUUGGGCGUAAAGAGCUCGUAGGCGGUUUGUCGCGUCUGCCGUGAAAGUCCGGGGCUCAACUCCGGAUCUGCGGUGGGUACGGGCAGGCUAGAGUGAUGUAGGGGAGACUGGAAUUCCUGGUGUAGCGGUGAAAUGCGCAGAUAUCAGGAGGAACACCGGUGGCGAAGGCGGAUCUCUGGGCCAUUACUGACGCUGAGGAGCGAAAGCGUGGGGAGCGAACAGG